rnacentral:rRNA from 1 species
GUUUGAUCCUGGCUCAGAUUGAACGCUGGCGGCAUGCCUUACACAUGCAAGUCGAACGGCAGCACGGGAGCAAUCCUGGUGGCGAGUGGCGAACGGGUGAGUAAAGUAUCGGAACGUACCUUUCAGUGGGGGAUAACGUAGCGAAAGUUACGCUAAUACCGCAUAUUCUGUGAGCAGGAAAGCAGGGGAUCGCAAGACCUUGCGCUGAUUGAGCGGCCGAUAUCAGAUUAGCUAGUUGGUGGGGUAAAGGCCUACCAAGGCGACGAUCUGUAGCGGGUCUGAGAGGAUGAUCCGCCACACUGGAACUGAGACACGGUCCAGACUCCUACGGGAGGCAGCAGUGGGGAAUUUUGGACAAUGGGGGCAACCCUGAUCCAGCCAUGCCGCGUGAGUGAAGAAGGCCUCGGUUGUAA